UGGAACAGGACGUCAUAGAGGGUGAGAAUCCCGUUUGGCGAGGAUACCUUUUCUUUGUAAGACUUUUUCGAAGAGUCGAGUUGUUUGGGAAUGCAGCUCAAAGUGGGUGGUAAAUUCCAUCUAAAGCUAAAUAUUGGCGAGAGACCGAUAGCGAACAAGUACAGUGAUGGAAAGAUGAAAAGAACUUUGAAAAGAGAGUGAAAAAGUACGUGAAAUUGUUGAAAGGGAAGGGCAUUUGAUCAGACAUGGUGUUUUUUGCAUGCACUCGCCUCUCGUGGGCUUGGGCCUCUCAAAAAUUUCACUGGGCCAACAUCAAUUCUGGCAGCAGGAUAAAUCAUUAAGAAUGUAGCUACUUCGGUAGUGUUAUAGCUUUUUGGAAUACUGUUAGCCGGGAUUGAGGACUGCGCUUCGGCAAGGAUGUUGGCAUAAUGGUUAAAUGCCGCC
rnacentral:rRNA from 1 species